rnacentral:lncRNA from 1 species
ACCCUACUGCUUCUUAAAAUUGAGAGAGUGAUUUUUCCAUGAUAGGAUAGUGAAUCAGCUGUAUUUCUGCCUCUAAGGAACUAUAUUUUAAAUCUCAAUCCAAUUACAUUAGCCUCUUAAAAGAAAAGAAAAACCACUGUACUCUGGACCUUUGGGCUAGGAUCUUGGUUUGGUCAUUCAUCAGACAUUUUUCUGCUGUAAGUUAGCUAGUUGGAUCACUUUCCCACCCAGCAUCAGAGUUUCAUUUGCACUGAUUACCCCACAUUCCACAAAAAAAGUCAUUAGGAAUUCUGUUUCAGUGAAUAAAAGAAUGUAAAUGAGGUAAUUAUGAGCUCCACUUACCUUCCUAACCCCAUGCAUUGUGACAUCAUUAAUGCCUUCCCAUGAUCUGUUCACUGGAAAAGUCAGGAAGAUGGAAAAGCAACAUUGUUGGGAAAGAAGAUUAGAGUCAAGUUUACCUUUGUGUCUUCUUUUGGUGGGGGGAGAUCUUUUGAGAAUAAAGGAAGAAAAAGAGAAGAAGAAAACAAAGAGAAAGAGAUACAGGCCCAGUGAUGAGGACAGAGGCAAGGGCAGUUCAUUUUACAGGGUCCUGGAAGGUGUGUCAACAGAGCCAGAAUUGUCUCAGGCAGGAGCUGUUUGGUUACAUUUCAAUUCAGGAAAAUUGGCCAAGGGCAUGGCCAUGGUCUUAUAGAAAUCUCAGACAGAAACAAGUUGUAUAUUCAUCACUGAUCAUGGUUUCUCUAACCCUGGGAUUUAUGGAGUACUGUUUGUCUAAACCUGUGACUCUCAAAAUUAUUUUUGCUAUGUGGUAUCUCCAUUUACCUUAAGUCUAAUUGUGAAAUUCUCCAAAAAAGCUUUUCUUCAUUUAUUUAAAAUUUUAAGAAAUAACCAUUUAAUCAUAUGGUUCUAAUGCUUAUAAAAAAUGACAUGAUAAGAGAGGGAUGGUGGAAUUGGUGGAGAGAUAAGGAGGAUUUGGGAAAGCCAACAAGAAAUGUGAAGGUUCUUUAAUA